rnacentral:rRNA from 1 species
ACUGCUCAGUAACACGUGGAUAACCUGCCCUUGGGUCUGGGAUAACCCCGGGAAACUGGGGAUAAUACCGGAUGACGCAUAUGUGCUGGAAUGCUUUAUGCGUAAAACGGAUUCGUCCGCCCAAGGAUGGGUCUGCGGCCUAUCAGGUAGUAGUGGGUGUAAUGUACCUACUAGCCAACAACGGGUACGGGUUGUGAGAGCAAGAGCCCGGAGAUGGAUUCUGAGACAUGAAUCCAGGCCCUACGGGGCGCAGCAGGCGCGAAAACUUUACAAUGCGGGAAACCGUGAUAAGGGAACACCGAGUGCCAGCAUCAUAUGCUGGCUGUCCAGAUGUGUAAAGUACAUCUGUUAGCAAGGGCCGGGCAAGACCGGUGCCAGCCGCCGCGGUAACACCGGCGGCCCGAGUGGUGACCGUUAUUAUUGGGUCUAAAGGGUCCGUAGCCGGUUUGGUCAGUCCUCCGGGAAAUCUGAUAGCUUAACUGUUAGGCUUUCGGGGGAUACUGCCAGGCUUGGAACCGGGAGAGGUAAGAGGUACUACAGGGGUAGGAGUGAAAUCUUGUAAUCCCUGUGAGACCACCUGUGGCGAAGGCGUCUUACCAGAACGGGUUCGACGGUGAGGGACGAAAGCUGGGGGCACGAACCGGAUUAGAUACCCGGGUAGUCCCAGCCGUAAACUAUGCUCGCUAGGUGUCAGGCAUGGCGCGACCGUGUCUGGUGCCGCAGGGAAGCCGUGAAGCGAGCCACCUGGGAAGUACGGCCGCAAGGCUGAAACUUAAAGGAAUUGGCGGGGGAGCAC